GGGAAUAUUGCACAAUGGGGGAAACCCUGAUGCAGCGACGCCGCGUGAGUGAAGAAGUAUUUCGGUAUGUAAAGCUCUAUCAGCAGGGACGAAGAUGACGGUACCUGCAGAAGAAGCCCCGGCUAACUACGUGCCAGCAGCCGCGGUAAUACGUAGGGGGCAAGCGUUAUCCGGAUUUACUGGGUGUAAAGGGAGCGUAGACGGCAGGGCAAGCCAGAAGUGAAAACGCAGAGCUUAACUUUGCGACUGCUUUUGGAACUGCCCAGCUAGAGUACAGGAGAGGUAAGUGGAAUUCCUAGUGUAGCGGUGAAAUGCGUAGAUAUUAGGAGGAACACCAGUGGCGAAGGCGGCUUACUGGACUGAGACUGACGUUGAGGCUCGAAAGCGUGGGGAGCAAACAGG
rnacentral:rRNA from 1 species